AGCUUGCUCUCUGGGUGGCGAGUGGCGGACGGGUGAGGAAUACAUCGGAAUCUACUCUGUCGUGGGGGAUAACGUAGGGAAACUUACGCUAAUACCGCAUACGACCUACGGGUGAAAGCAGGGGAUCUUCGGACCUUGCGCGAUUGAAUGAGCCGAUGUCGGAUUAGCUAGUUGGCGGGGUAAAGGCCCACCAAGGCGACGAUCCGUAGCUGGUCUGAGAGGAUGAUCAGCCACACUGGAACUGAGACACGGUCCAGACUCCUACGGGAGGCAGCAGUGGGGAAUAUUGGACAAUGGGCGCAAGCCUGAUCCAGCCAUACCGCGUGGGUGAAGAAGGCCUUCGGGUUGUAAAGCCCUUUUGUUGGGAAAGAAAUCCAGCCGGCUAAUACCUGGUUGGGAUGACGGUACCCAAAGAAUAAGCACCGGCUAACUUCGUGCCAGCAGCCGCGGUAAUACGAAGGGUGCAAGCGUUACUCGGAAUUACUGGGCGUAAAGCGUGCGUAGGUGGUCGUUUAAGUCCGUUGUGAAAGCCCUGGGCUCAACCUGGGAACUGCAGUGGAUACUGGGCGACUAGAGUGUGGUAGAGGGUAGCGGAAUUCCUGGUGUAGCAGUGAAAUGCGUAGAGAUCAGGAGGA
rnacentral:rRNA from 2 species